rnacentral:rRNA from 1 species
GGCGGAGGGUGCUAGCGUUGUUCGGAAUCACUGGGCGUAAAGGGCGCGUAGGCGGCCAGGCAAGUCGGCUUGUGAAAGCCCGGGGCUCAACCCCGGAGGUGCGGCCGGGACUGCUUGGCUGGAGGCCGGAAGAGGAGGGUGGAAUACCCAGUGUAGAGGUGAAAUUCGUAGAUAUUGGGUGGAACACCGGUGGCGAAAGCGGCUCUCUGGUCCGGACCUGACGCUGAGGCGCGAAAGCGUGGGGAGCAAACAGG